rnacentral:rRNA from 1 species
UACGUAGGGUGCAAGCGUUGUCCGGAAUUAUUGGGCGUAAAGAGCUCGUAGGCGGCUUGUCGCGUCUGCUGUGAAAACCCGAGGCUCAACCUCGGGCCUGCAGUGGGUACGGGCAGACUAGAGUGCGGUAGGGGAGAUUGGAAUUCCUGGUGUAGCGGUGAAAUGCGCAGAUAUCAGGAGGAACACCGGUGGCGAAGGCGGGACUCUGGGCCGAUACUGACGCUGAGGAGCGAAAGCGUGGGGAGCAAACAGG